UGCGGGGUGGAGCAGCCCGGUAGCUCGCAAGGCUCAUAACCUUGAGGUCGCUGGUUCAAAUCCAGCCCCCGCAACCA
rnacentral:tRNA from 1 species